GGAAGGUGGGUGCACCCGGGGUGCACACUGAUUGACAGUCAGUAGAAGUGGUGUAAAACCCACUGGGGUUCAACUCCCCCACCUUCCGC
rnacentral:tRNA from 1 species